GAUGAACGCUGGCGGCACGCCUAACACAUGCAAGUCGAACGAGGUUUGAGAGAGCUUGCUUUUUCAAACCUAGUGGCGGACGGGUGAGUAACACGUGAGGAACCUACCUCUAAGCAGUGGAUACCGUUUGGAAACGAACGUUAAUACAACAUAAAGUAUGUCUUUCACAUGUUAGACAUACCAAAGGAGCAAUCCGCUUAGAGAUGGCCUCGCGUCUGAUUAGCUAGUUGGUGAGGUAACGGCCCACCAAGGCAACGAUCAGUAGCCGGACUGAGAGGUUGAACGGCCACAUUGGGACUGAGACACGGCCCAGACCCCUACGGGAGGCAGCAGUGGGGAAUAUUGGACAAUGGGGGAAACCCUGAUCCAGCGAUGCCGCGUGAGGGAAGAAGGUUUUCGGAUUGUAAACCUCUGUCUUUAGGGAAGAUAAUGACGGUACCUAAGAAGGAAGCUCCGGCUAACUACGUGCCAGCCGCCGCGGUAAGAC
rnacentral:rRNA from 1 species